rnacentral:sRNA from 1 species
UUUAUGCAAGUACUCGCCGUUAGCAAA